rnacentral:lncRNA from 1 species
CCUGGCCCUGAGGCCAAACCAACACAGUGGGCUGAAAAGGGAGCAAGCAGCCCAUGGGGUCCUGGUGGAAAGGAUCCUAACAAACAAGAGUGAUAUCAAAGUAUUUGGUACACUGGGCAAGCCUUUACACUGGCCCCCUUUCCUCCUCCAGAGGCAGGGCCCAGGUAGAGGAGGGCAGCUUAAGCCUGGGCCUUCAUUUACCUUGGCAUCAAAUUUCACCCCCACAAUAUGCCUCAGUCCAGGCUGAACUCACAGGGCAGAACCCAGCACCCCAUUUCUUUCUGUAGCCUAGGGCUUGGCACAGGUCAGUGAAGACAGAAAGGUAUUGGCCAAAUGGCAAAAUCUACUCUCAUUGCUCCCAGAUUGCCUACUUCUCCUGGCACGGCAGUCCUGAACUCUGGAUGCCAUACUCAGCUGCCUCCUGUCAUCUGUGCAUGUGACCUCUGUCCCUCAUAGUACCAGAUCCUGAGGCUGCUGUGCCUCAUGCUUCUCUCCAUCCCUGCUGCCACUACAGGCCACCUUUUAGACUCACUGUCUCCUCCCAGUACCCUACUUGCCAGAGCCAGUGACUUUCUAAGUUUCCAACCCUUUGAAUUUUCCCUGCUGCCUUCAGAAGAACCCCUCAGCUUGAAAUCUAAGCCUUUGGAAGCCACCCUGUUGGCCUGCAUCUUCAUUCCCUUGCUAUUCUGAAUGUGACUUACAUGUGCUUUUCUCUAUCCAGAAUGUUCUUGUCCCUCCCAGCCCACAAUUAAAAUUCGUCCUUCAGGAUUCCCCCACUGAAAGCCCUUUCCUCAUCUACCAGGCUUGGUCCUACCCUUUCUUGUUUGUUAUCAGCCUCCCUCCAUUAUAAGCCAUGGAGCUCUUGAAAGAGGCCAGGAUGGGAACAGAAUGUUCCCUGGGAUCAGGCCUGGCUCAGAGAAACCUCAGGGAAUGUUUAUGAAGUCAUUAAGUUCUCC